rnacentral:rRNA from 1 species
UGGGGAAUCUUGCGCAAUGGGCGAAAGCCUGACGCAGCGACGCCGCGUGCGGGAUGACGGCCUUCGGGUUGUAAACCGCUUUCAGCAGGGACAAGGCCGCAAGGUGACGGUACCUGCAGAAGAAGCCCCGGCUAACUACGUGCC